rnacentral:tRNA from 1 species
UGAGGUAUAACUCAACGGUAGAGUACCAUGCUUUUAACAUGGGAGUUCUGGGUUCGAAUCCCAGUGCCUCAACCA